rnacentral:tRNA from 1 species
CGCGGGGUGGAGCAGUUGGUAGCUCGUCGGGCUCAUAACCCGAAGGUCGUUGGUUCAAGUCCAGUCCCCCGCAACCA